AUGAAUGCCAUGCUGUCCAAUCACUUGCCACCAAAGAUUGUUGAAGUAGUGUGCUGCAAGCUGACUCCCUUACAGAUGACACUGUACAACCACUUCACACACUCCAAAAAUAUUUUGUCCCAGUUGAUAUCUGAAGAAGCAAAGAGCACUAAAGUUUUGGCAUAUAUUACUGUUCUUAAGAAAUUAUGCAACCAUCUGAAGGUAAUUAAUUCUAGUUUAAUGUUUCGACCCAAGAUAUAUCUCUUUCAGUGA
rnacentral:rRNA from 1 species